GACGAACCGUACGAACGUUAUUCGGAAUCACUGGGCUUAAAGGGUGCGUAGGCGGCGCGGAAAGUUGGGUGUGAAAUCCCUCGGCUUAACCGAGGAAUUGCGCCCAAAACUACCGUGCUUGAGGGAGACAGAGGUGAGCGGAACUUAGGGUGGAGCGGUGAAAUGCGUUGAUAUCCUAAGGAACACCGGUGGCGAAAGCGGCUCACUGGGUCUUUUCUGACGCUGAGGCACGAAAGCUAGGGGAGCAAACGGG
rnacentral:rRNA from 1 species